CCCAGCUGUAAAGAGCAAGGGUCACUGGGGAACCCUAUGUCGUCCCAGAAGGAGCUCCCUUGUGUCAGAGGGCUGUCUCCAAACAGCCCUUUAUAUUAUUUACUCUGAAUAUACGUAUACACACAUCUGUGGUGUUCAUCACUGACAGAAGACAAGCUUCUAGAAAGAGCGGCUGCUUCAUCAUUUUUUUGUGUGUCCCUAGUACCUCGUCCAGUGCCUGGCACAUAGUAGAGGUGCUUAAUAAAUGCUUACUGACUGGAUGUUCUGGUGAAGAAGACAAAUUCGGAUUAAUCUGAGGAAACCUGCUCUACCAGAAAACUGAACAGAGCAAUGCCUUCUACCUUCUCGAAGGAGGAAUGGACCGCAGGUGGGGAAUAAGGUCUGUCCUCUGAGGCCAAGCCUCCAAAUACCUGAAGACUUUUGGGAUAUCCCUAAAGUCAAAGAGAGGCUGUAAGGAUGAAUGGAUUCAAAGCUUCCAGGUUUUCGAUAAACAUCAUCUGCUACACAAGGGGCAUUCCUAGCAUCCAGGACUGAGGAGAUGAUCGCCCCACUGUGCCCUGACCUGGUCAGACUGUAGCAAGAGCAGUAUGGACAAUUCUGAGAAUAUCUGAGGAAGGACAGGAAUGAGCUGGAGAGAGUCCAGAGCGUCUCCUUCGCUUUACCUUUUCCAUCCAGGUUACACACGCAUCUAGAGUUUCCGGUGCUCUACGGUGAGACGUUCUAGACCUCAUCUCCCCCAGUCAGACCUCCAGUGUUAAGGGCACUUUCCAUGUUAGUGCUUGGUGAGUGCUCACAUGAGGAGUCUGUCACGCCGAGGACUUGGAACACUUUGCUGCUGUGGCCAUUUGCUUCUGGGUCUAAUGUAACUAAGCUGUUUCACUGGUACCAAAGAGCUUUGCAGCAUAUUUUGAGAUGUGGCACUUACUCAGCCCUUUUCCUUUCCCUUCUCUUAUUCCAUUAUUUCCUUUAACACUCUGGACCUUUUGUGCCUCUGGAGAAUUUCGCUGUAAUAUCAUACCAUUCUAUAAGCUUAUACUUUGGUAGUUUGAUUGGAAUGGUACGGAAUCUGCAAAUUAAUCUAAGUAUUGCUGUCACUUUUAAUCAGAUGAGCACAACCCUGCCAUGAGCAAUUAAUUUCUCUCCUAUUAUUUAAGUCUGUCUUUGUUUCUAUAAAGAAUGUUUCGUGGCUGUAUUUAUACUAUUCCUGUGAGAGUCUUGGUAAGCAAUUUUGAAUGGAAUGUCUUUUUUUUUUUAAUCUCUCUGUUGGGAGGCUGAUUAAUGGCCAUGGACUUCCAACCCCUUCUCUUUUUAGGCCUCCCAUGACUAAACUGAAAGCACUUUAAGGUCGGGGCCUAUUUUUCAACCUGUUUUUAUAUCCUUUACAUUGCCUCCAUUACAGGCACAGCAGACAUUUAACACAUGCUUGCCCUUUUUUCUUUCCUUCCACAUGAGUAUAUUCUAAGAGGACAUUAAAGUUCACAUGGAUUUAAGAUGGAGACAAAGUACCCCAAACUGUCCACUCCCCAAGGGGUUUCUCUUGUGAUUUCUUUCUCGGCUUGGUCUGUACCCUGAUCUCCUAGAUCAGGUUCUUAUCUUUACAAUGAAGGAUGCUAGCUGCCUAUUGCUUCUAGAAUCAAAUACAGACCUUCCUGUUUGACACGAAAACCCAGUCCCAACCUAAGCAAGUGGCUUAAGUAACCAUGACUGCCUCUUUCUGCACUCUCUAGUCCAGGCCGCCACUUGCUGUGAUUUCUCACACCUCCAUCCUUCACCUGGAUCUCCUCUGAAAGGCACGCUGUCCUUCCCUCUGACUCACAAAAUGCCUAGCAGCCUUCAAGGCCACUUCCUGCAGGAGGCAUAUCCUGAUCCCCCUAGUCAUGGGGACCUACUUGUAUUGGGAAUCAAGAUGGGCUCUUAGCACUUACUCAACCAAGUGCCCUUGAAGAGUG